rnacentral:ncRNA from 1 species
GUCGUUGCAAAAGAAAUCCUGCUCAGUACGAGAGGAACCGCAGGUUCGAACAAAUGGUACAUGUACCUGCUCGACCGAGCAAUUGCACGACGCUAUCGUCCGAGGGAUUAUGACUGAACGCCUCUAAGUCAGAAUCCCGUCAUUAUUUGGUAACGAU